rnacentral:rRNA from 1 species
UACGUAGGGGGCUAGCGUUGUCCGGAUUUAUUGGGCGUAAAGAGCGUGUAGGCGGCCAUGUAGGUCCGGUGUGAAAACUCGAGGCUUAACCUCGAGAUGUCAUCGGAAACCAUUUGGCUAGAGUCCGGAAGAGGAGAGUGGAAUUCCUGGUGUAGCGGUGAAAUGCGCAGAUAUCAGGAAGAACACCAAUGGCGAAAGCAGCUCUCUGGGACGGUACUGAAGCUGAGACGCGAAAGCGUGGGGAGCGAACAGG